rnacentral:rRNA from 1 species
GUGUCAGCAGCCGCGGUAACACGUAGGAGGCGAGCGUUGUCCGGAAUCAUUGGGCGUAAAGAGCGCGUAGGCGGCUCGGCAAGUCGGUUGUGAAAGGCCGGGGCUCAACCCCGGGACUGCAUCCGAUACUGUCGAGCUGGAGGUAGGUAGGGGAGAUCGGAAUUCCUGGUGUAGCGGUGAAAUGCGCAGAUAUCAGGAGGAACACCGGUGGCGAAGGCGGAUCUCUGGGCCUUACCUGACGCUGAGGCGCGAAAGCUAGGGGAGCGAACAGGAUUAGAUACCCUUGUAGUCC